CACGUAGGGUGCGAGCGUUGUCCGGAAUUAUUGGGCGUAAAGAGCUCGUAGGCGGUGUGUCGCGUCGGCCGUGAAAACUUGCAGCUUAACUGUGGGCGUGCGGUCGAUACGGGCAUCACUGGAGUUCGGCAGGGGAGACUGGAAUUCCUGGUGUAGCGGUGAAAUGCGCAGAUAUCAGGAGGAACACCGGUGGCGAAGGCGGGACUCUGGGCCGAUACUGACGCUGAGGAGCGAAAGCGUGGGGAGCGAACAGG
rnacentral:rRNA from 1 species